GAUGAACGCUGGCGGCGUGCCUAAUACAUGCAAGUCGAGCGAACGGACGAGAAGCUUGCUUCUCUGAUGUUAGCGGCGGACGGGUGAGUAACACGUGGAUAACCUACCUAUAAGACUUGGAUAACUUCGGGAAACCGGAGCUAAUACCGGAUGAUAUUUUGAACCGCAUGGUUCAAAAGUGAAAGACGGUCUUGCUGUCACUUAUAGAUGGAUCCGCGCUGCAUUAGCUAGUUGGUAAGGUAACGGCUUACCAAGGCAACGAUGCAUAGCCGACCUGAGAGGGUGAUCAGCCACACUGGAACUGAGACACGGUCCAGACUCCUACGGGAGGCAGCAGUAGGGAAUCUUCCGCAAUGGGCGAAAGCCUGACGGAGCAACGCCGCGUGAGUGAUGAAGGUCUUCGGAUCGUAAAACUCUGUUAUUAGGGAAGAACAUAUGUGUAAGUAACUGUGCACAUCUUGACGGUACCUAAUCAGAAAGCCACGGCUAACUACGUG
rnacentral:rRNA from 1 species